rnacentral:lncRNA from 1 species
GAAGACCCAGACCUCGAGUUGGAAUGGGGAGAACACUUAAACACUUGAUGUGCAGACAUCCUGAGCUUCAGCUGAUCUUACAAGCACAAAGGUCUUUUGUAGGAGGAAUGUACCUACAAAUGUCUGAAUCGUCUAAAAUAUCAGAACUUAUAAGUCAGCAUUUUCAUAUAAAAGUGAAUUAGAAGCAGUUUGAGAAUGCAGUGCUAAUUCAUAUAUGCAUACAUUCAUAACUUGCAUAAAUAUGUUAAAAGUUGUUUGGAAAUGUGACCCAAUGACAUGGAUCCUACUUCUAGACUUUUGAAAAUAUCUGCAUAUGGUUCUUAUCCUUUAGCACUAACAUGACACAUAUAAACAGAUGUAAAUAGCUAAAAGGGGCCUGUAAGCUACUUUGUAAGCACGGCAGGCAAAUACUUCACCAAACUUCUUGGCAUGGUGAAUAUCACCUCUGCCUACCUACACUGUGGGUGAAAGUCCUUAGACCUUGGGUUAUGAUGUAAGUCAUGGAUCUCAGAAUUAGGAAGGAUAUCUGAGGAACUUAGCAGAAUGAUUUAAUCAGUGUCAAGGCAACUUCUUCACCUUUUCAGAGUAGUGGUCACCCAGCCUGUUGGAAUAUGCCCCUCCAAGUGUGCUGAAAUUUACAGAGAUGAUAAGAAAAAAGUUAAUAUGGGGAUAACUAUUGUUAAUGUUUUGCUUAUUUCCUUCUAGUCUUUUUUUUUUUUAAUCUUUUUUUUUUUUUUUUUUGAGAUGAGUCUCACUCUGUCACCC